rnacentral:rRNA from 1 species
UACGUAGGGGGCAAGCGUUGUUCGGAAUUACUGGGCGUAAAGAGUGUGUAGGCGGUGCUGCAAGUCUGGUGUGAAAUCUCCCGGCUCAACUGGGAGGGUGCGCCGGAAACUGCAGUGCUAGAGGGUGGGAGAGGUAAGCGGAAUUCCUGGUGUAGCGGUGAAAUGCGUAGAUAUCAGGAGGAACACCUGUGGUGUAGACAGCUUACUGGACCACUUCUGACGCUGAGACACGAAAGCGUGGGUAGCAAACAGG